rnacentral:rRNA from 1 species
CAGCAGCCGCGGUAAUACGAAGGGUGCAAGCGUUACUCGGAAUUACUGGGCGUAAAGCGUGCGUAGGUGGUUUUGUAAGACAGAGGUGAAAUCCCCGGGCUCAACCUGGGAACUGCCUUUGUGACUGCAAGGCUAGAGUACGGCAGAGGGGGAUGGAAUUCCGCGUGUAGCAGUGAAAUGCGUAGAUAUGCGGAGGAACACCGAUGGCGAAGGCAAUCCCCUGGGCCUGUACUGACGCUCAUGCACGAAAGCGUGGGGAGCAAACAGGAUUAGAUACCCCUGUAGUCCCUGUCUCUUAUAC